GGUUAAGCGACUAAGCGUACACGGUGGAUGCCUAGGCAAUCAGAGGCGAUGAAGGACGUGCUAAUCUGCGAAAAGCGUCGGUAAGGUGAUAUGAACCGUUAUAACCGACGAUGUCCGAAUGGGGAAACCCAGUGCAAUUCGUUGCACUAUCGUUUGAUGAAUCCAUAGUCAAACGAGGCGAACCGGGGGAACUGAAACAUCUCAGUACCCCGAGGAAAAGAAAUCAACCGAGAUUCCCCUAGUAGCGGCGAGCGAACGGGGAGCAGCCCAGAGUCUUAAUCAGCAUCAGCAUCAGGAGAACGGUCUGGAAAGGCCGGCAAUAAAGGGUGAUAGCCCCGUAUCCGAAGGUGUUGGUGUUGUGAACUCGACGAGUAGGGCGGGACACGUGUUAUCCUGUCUGAAUAUGGGGGGACCAUCCUCCAAGGCUAAAUACUCCUGAUUGACCGAUAGUGAACCAGUACCGUGAGGGAAAGGCGAAAAGAACCCCGGCGAGGGGAGUGAAAUAGAACCUGAAACCGUGUACGUACAAGCAGUGGGAGCCUUGAUUUAUCAGGGUGACUGCGUACCUUUUGUAUAAUGGGUCAGCGACUUAUAUUCUGUAGCAAGGUUAACCGAAUAGGGGAGCCGUAGGGAAACCGAGUCUUAACUGGGCGAAUGAGUUGCAGGGUAUAGACCCGAAACCCGGUGAUCUAGCCAUGGGCAGGUUGAAGGUUGGGUAACACUAACUGGAGGACCGAACCGACUAAUGUUGAAAAAUUAGCGGAUGACUUGUGGCUGGGGGUGAAAGGCCAAUCAAACCGGGAGAUAGCUGGUUCUCCCCGAAAGCUAUUUAGGUAGCGCCUCGUGAACUCAUCUUCGGGGGUAGAGCACUGUUUCGGCUAGGGGGUCAUCCCGACUUACCAACCCGAUGCAAACUACGAAUACCGAAGAAUGUUAUCACGGGAGACACACGGCGGGUGCUAACGUUCGUCGUGAAGAGGGAAACAACCCAGACCGCCAGCUAAGGUCCCAAAGUCAUGGUUAAGUGGGAAACGAAGUGGGAAGGCUCAGACAGCCAGGAUGUUGGCUUAGAAGCAGCCAUCAUUUAAAGAAAGCGUAAUAGCUCACUGGUCGAGUCGGCCUGCGCGGAAGAUGUAACGGGGCUAAACCAUGCACCGAAGCUGCGGCAGCGACAUGUAAAUGUUGUUGGGUAGGGGAGCGUUCUGUAAGCCUGUGAAGGUGUGCUGCGAGGCAUGCUGGAGGUAUCAGAAGUGCGAAUGCUGACAUAAGUAACGAUAAUGCGGGUGAAAAACCCGCACGCCGGAAGACCAAGGGUUCCUGUCCAACGUUAAUCGGGGCAGGGUGAGUCGACCCCUAAGGCGAGGCAGAAAUGCGUAGUCGAUGGGAAACAGGUUAAUAUUCCUGUACUGGUGAUAAUUGCGAUGGGGGGACGGAGAAGGCUAGGCUGGCCGGGCGACGGUUGUCCCGGUUUAAGGAUGUAGGUGGGUGAAUUAGGCAAAUCCGGUUCGCUAUACACUGAGGUCUGAUGACGAGUCACUACGGUGGCGAAGUAGCUCAUGCCCCGCUUCCAGGAAAAGCCUCUAAGCUCUAGAUUAUCAUUAAUCGUACCCCAAACCGACACAGGUGGUCAGGUAGAGAAUACUCAGGCGCUUGAGAGAACUCGGGUGAAGGAACUAGGCAAAAUGGUGCCGUAACUUCGGGAGAAGGCACGCUGGCAUUAGGUGAAGUGGUUUACCCAUGGAGCUGAAGCCAGUCGCAGAUACCAGCUGGCUGCAACUGUUUAUUAAAAACACAGCACUGUGCAAACACGAAAGUGGACGUAUACGGUGUGACGCCUGCCCGGUGCUGGAAGGUUAAUUGAUGGGGUUAUCCGUAAGGAGAAGCUCUUGAUCGAAGCCCCAGUAAACGGCGGCCGUAACUAUAACGGUCCUAAGGUAGCGAAAUUCCUUGUCGGGUAAGUUCCGACCUGCACGAAUGGCGUAAUGAUGGCCAGGCUGUCUCCACCCGAGACUCAGUGAAAUUGAACUCGCUGUGAAGAUGCAGUGUACCCGCGGCAAGACGGAAAGACCCCGUGAACCUUUACUAUAGCUUGACACUGAACAUUGAGCCUUGAUGUGUAGGAUAGGUGGGAGGCUUUGAAGUGUGGACGCCAGUCUGCAUGGAGCCAACCUUGAAAUACCACCCUUUAAUGUUUGAUGUUCUAACGUAGCCCCAUAAUCUGGGGUGCGGACAGUGUCUGGUGGGUAGUUUGACUGGGGCGGUCUCCUCCCAAAGCGUAACGGAGGAGCACGAAGGUUGGCUAAGCAUGGUCGGACAUCAUGCGGUUAGUGCAAAGGCAUAAGCCAGCUUGACUGCGAGAGUGACGGCUCGAGCAGGUACGAAAGUAGGUCUUAGUGAUCCGGUGGUUCUGAAUGGAAGGGCCAUCGCUCAACGGAUAAAAGGUACUCCGGGGAUAACAGGCUGAUACCGCCCAAGAGUUCAUAUCGACGGCGGUGUUUGGCACCUCGAUGUCGGCUCAUCACAUCCUGGGGCUGAAGUAGGUCCCAAGGGUAUGGCUGUUCGCCAUUUAAAGUGGUACGCGAGCUGGGUUUAGAACGUCGUGAGACAGUUCGGUCCCUAUCUGCCGUGGGCGUUGGAAGAUUGAAAGGGGCUGCUCCUAGUACGAGAGGACCGGAGUGGACGCACCGCUGGUGUUCGGGUUGUCAUGCCAAUGGCACUGCCCGGUAGCUAAGUGCGGAAGAGAUAACCGCUGAAAGCAUCUAAGCGGGAAACUUGCCUUGAGAUGAGUCUUCCCUGACUCUUUAAGGGUCCUAAAGGAACGUUUAAGACGAAGACGUUGAUAGGCUGGGUGUGUAAGCGUAGCGAUACGUUGAGCUAACCAGUACUAAUGAACCGUGAGGCUUAACCUG
rnacentral:rRNA from 1 species